rnacentral:lncRNA from 1 species
UAAUCAAUGCCAGACGUGUCUCAGUGUUGGUCGCAAAUUGAAACCGAUAGGGAAAUACAUUGCUAUUUAUAAGAAAAUUGUUUCCGACUAUCCACCAGAUCAUAUGUUUCCAAACCAAGAUAUUUUACAAGUCCUACUCUGUUGGGAGUGUGAGGCAUUGCUAAGGCGGGCUCAACAGUUCCAGGAGCAUGUGCGGAAGGUCAAUGAACUGUUACAAUUCGGACAGAUUUACCUUCACAGCAGUCUGUCAAACCUGACAACAAUUUUACUUAACGAAACGCACCGUAAUAUAAUUUAUAUCAAUGAAACACAUAAAAGC